rnacentral:rRNA from 1 species
GCUCAGGAUGAACGCUGGCGGCGUGCUUAACACAUGCAAGUCGAACGGUGAAGCCCAGCUUGCUGGGUGGAUCAGUGGCGAACGGGUGAGUAACACGUGAGCAACCUGCCCCUGACUCUGGGAUAAGCGCUGGAAACGGCGUCUAAUACUGGAUACGAACCGCGACCGCAUGGUCAGUGGUUGGAAAGAUUUUUUGGUUGGGGAUGGGCUCGCGGCCUAUCAGCUUGUUGGUGAGGUAAUGGCUCACCAAGGCGUCGACGGGUAGCCGGCCUGAGAGGGUGACCGGCCACACUGGGACUGAGACACGGCCCAGACUCCUACGGGAGGCAGCAGUGGGGAAUAUUGCACAAUGGGCGGAAGCCUGAUGCAGCAACGCCGCGUGAGGGAUGACGGCCUUCGGGUUGUAAACCUCUUUUAGCAGGGAAGAAGCGAAAGUGACGGUACCUGCAGAAAAAGCGCCGGCUAACUACGUGCCAGCAGCCGCGGUAAUACGUAGGGCGCAAGCGUUAUCCGGAAUUAUUGGGCGUAAAGAGCUCGUAGGCGGUUUGUCGCGUCUGCUGUGAAAUCCCGAGGCUCAACCUCGGGCCUGCAGUGGGUACGGGCAGACUAGAGUGCGGUAGGGGAGAUUGGAAUUCCUGGUGUAGCGGUGGAAUGCGCAGAUAUCAGGAGGAACACCGAUGGCGAAGGCAGAUCUCUGGGCCGUAACUGACGCUGAGGAGCGAAAGGGUGGGGAGCAAACAGGCUUAGAUACCCUGGUAGUCCACCCCGUAAACGUUGGGAACUAGUUGUGGGGUCCAUUCCACGGAUUCCGUGACGCAGCUAACGCAUU